rnacentral:lncRNA from 1 species
AUCUUUCAGAUAUACUCCAUGUCAACAUUCAUUCUGACAUCCUCCUAACGAUGGCAUCUAUAAGCUCAUCCCAGACAUUUAUCGCAAAUACAGCAUACACAAAUACUAUCAGAUUCAGCCUAACGUACGGUUCGUUCUGAUUCAGCCCAACAUAUGACUCCUUCAACUCAGAUACGAUCUAGCGUACGAUCCAUUCUGACCUUCAACAACUCAAAU